CAGCUAGUUGGUGGGGUAAUGGCCUACCAAGGCGACAAUCCGUAGCUGGUCUGAGAGGACGACCAGCCACACCGGAACUGAGACACGGUCCGGACUCCUACGGGAGGCAGCAGUGGGGAAUAUUGGACAAUGGGGGAAACCCUGAUCCAGCGACGCCGCGUGUGUGAAGAAGGCCUGCGGGUUGUAAAGCACUUUUAGUGGGGACAAAAAGCUACGGACUAAUACUCUGUGGUCUUGAUUUAACCCAAAGAAAAAGCACCGGCUAACUCUGUGCCAGCAGCCGCGGUAAUACGGAGGGUGCGAGCGUUAAUCGGAAUUACUGGGCGUAAAGCGCGCGUAGACGGUUUUGUAAGUCAGAUGUGAAAUCCCUGGGCUCAACCUGGGAACUGCAUUUGAAACUGCAUGGCUAGAGUAUGGAAGAGGGAAGUGGAAUUUCCGGUGUAGCGGUGAAAUGCGUAGAUAUCGGAAGGAACACCAGUGGCGAAAGCGACUUCCUGGUC
rnacentral:rRNA from 1 species